ensembl:snoRNA
CCCCUUCAAAAAGCACUUGCUUUGUCUGGUCAGUAGCUCGGUGAGUUGUCGAAGAAGGGUAUAGUAAGAUCAUCACUGUGGGUGAGAUGGCAGUCUCAUUUUGGCUGACCAAUCUCAAUCAGUGAUGGAACAUUU